rnacentral:rRNA from 1 species
GACGAACGCUGGCGGCGUGCUUAACACAUGCAAGUCGAACGGUAAGGCCCUUCGGGGUACACGAGUGGCGAACGGGUGAGUAACACGUGGGUGAUCUGCCCUGCACUUCGGGAUAAGCCUGGGAAACUGGGUCUAAUACCGGAUAGGACUCCGGACUGCAUGGUCUGGGGUGGAAAGCUUUUGCGGUGUGGGAUGGGCCCGCGGCCUAUCAGCUUGUUGGUGGGGUGAUGGCCUACCAAGGCGACGACGGGUAGCCGGCCUGAGAGGGGAACCGGCCACACUGGGACUGAGAUACGGCCCAGACUCCUACGGGAGGCAGCAGUGGGGAAUAUUGCACAAUGGGCGCAAGCCUGAUGCAGCGACGCCGCGUGAGGGAUGACGGCCUUCGGGUUGUAAACCUCUUUCAGCAUCGACGAAGCGAAAGUGACGGUAGGUGCAGAAGAAGGACCGGCCAACUACGUGCCAGCCGCCGCGGUAA